rnacentral:pre_miRNA from 1 species
AUAGGAUUAUAUAGUGCAUUGAGACAAGUGAUAGGAUUAUAUAGUGCAUUGAGACUAAUCCUAUCACUUGUCUCAAUGCGCUAUAAUCCUAUCAC